CACAAUGUGUGACUAUUGUUUGUUGCUUCACUUAUAUAAGCAACAACAUUAGGAUUUUUUUUAUUUUAAAAAAGAACCAACAAAGUAACUCCGCGAGCUAAACACAUCUCAAAUGUAAUGUAAAUUGAACGUAAGAUGUCAAUGAUCCUCUUGCUCCACAGUUGAUAUGAUUUGAGCAGUCAAUAUAGCUGAGUAUUACACAUGUCUGUGCUGAAUUGCUGGUACUAGCAUAUAAGAAGAGCAUGCUGGUGUUGCAAUUGUUACUGUCAAGUGAUGCCUCUCCUUGCCACGCUCAUUAGAUAUUUGAAAUUUGUAAUACCAUGUUAGAGAAUACAAAAUUUAGUUUUUUCUACUAUAUCACCAGGUAUGCUUCGUGGAUCCUCAUAUAUUUUUCUCAGUAUAAGAAUUUCAGGUUGAGAUUGAAGAUUGUCAUUUUCCUCGUGUGGAGAUUCCUUUCCCCUAUGGUUCUAGGUGUUGGAAAUGGCAAACUCCCACCUUGGGAAGAAUUUCUCCCUAUAAAAGAAGGCCUAAUGUUUAGGAUUUAAACACACCUCUCAUUUUCCUUCUUAUCUUCUUAAGUCAUUUGUAUUUUCUCUCUUUAGUAUUAUUUCACUUGUAUUUUUGGAGUGAAAUAAAAUAUUGGUUGUGUCCGAGGAAGUAAGCAAAAUUGGCCGAACCUCGUAAAUUCUGGUGUUCCUUUUAUUGUUGCUUUAUUGUCUUAUUUAUUAUUUGGUGGCUGUCAUAAUUUUUGGUAUAAUAGUUGUGAUUCAUUCACACUAUAUACAUUUGGCUUCCACAACACUAGGAACAAUCGUCACCGGCCUUUCAAUUUAAUCCAUAAGCCUCUAUCGAUAAAGCCAAAUUACAUCAGAGAGCAGAGCACACAAGCUUAUACAAAGGUCGCCAUAAUAACAUCCACACAUUGGAAAAUAUGAGUUUGGAUUUAUUACUUUAUUUGUCUUGAUGCAGGUAUGCCAAUAAUUACUUGCUUCUUUUAUAUGGAUUGUAUUUCUAUCCAACAAUCUUUUACACCAUCUGAAAAUAUUGUUAUUACAUGGUAGAAAUGCGUGCAUCCCUAAUAUACUCUUGUAGUAAGGAAAAAUUAUUUAUAAUCUUAAUUAGAUGUCCUUCAUAGUUGAAAUUUACUUUUUACUUACUUGGCAUCCCAUUUCAGAACAAGCCCCAAAAAGAAAGCCUGUGUCAUAUUAUGUUAUAAUAUUUUCUUAUAAAUAAUAUUUUCUUAUAAAUCAUCUUCACAUUGGCGAUAUAUUCGCGAUGAAUGCGAAAUCAGUUUAUGAAUGAACUGGUAACAGAUUUUUCGUGGUAAACUAUACUGAAUAUGAAUUGAUUUGAUUUUUAGCAUUGGAAAGCCUUACCCUUUUUAACAGAAAGUUCUAAUUCUCACUAGCAAAUAGGUUUUGGUGAUAGUUUUCGAUCAAGAUUGAUGCACAUACUUGAGUUGAUUUCAAUUUGCUAUCAGAAAAAUCUCUUGAUAAUAUAUAUUGUGUGUUUUUAUUCUUUUUCUUCUAGCAAAGAUUGUUGCAUCUGGUGGUGUUUUAAUGACUCAAGUGUCUAUCGACCAUGAGAAGUAAAUCAAACUAAAUUGGUUAACUGUAGACAUUCUUGCAGAGCUACUCAACCAAGUUCUAUCCAAGGAUAUUAAGAAGCUUAACCCGAUAGAUCAGUAGUUUGAGCAUGAAAACUGGAGAAAGAAAUGUGAGUUUGAAUUGUUCUAUUUGUAUGUCCUUAUCCUUGGUGGGUAAAUUGUAUGACUUUUAUUUUGUAACUAAUUCACAUGUGCAGAAAAUGAUAUUUCUACUGUAGCGGCUUGAUGAAGUUUGUGCUAAUUAGUAUCUACCUUAAACAUAAAGUGUAUAAUAUUCAACAACUUAUAGUCGCUAUGAAGUUUCCUCCUUUGACUUUAUGUAUAUCUCUUAAAUUAUUGCAGAUUGAUUUGACAAUGUAGCAAGUGUUGGAGGAACGCGUGGUUAUCUUUGUGGAUGUAAUUUAAAAAGAGGAACGAAGUUCACAAUAUAGUUUUCAAUGUUCUGCUGCUAUUCCCCGAGGAUGGUUUAUGCCUCACUUUUGGGUUUGCAAAAUCAUAGCUCUUCUUUUCAAGUAUUUAUUGCUGUAAGAGUUACAAGUAUAUGUCCCAAGCAUACAGAGUGUAUGAUUUAAAUAAAACUUGAAAUCUAUAUUUUGC
rnacentral:lncRNA from 1 species